UUAAAAAGCUCGUAGUUGGAUUUCUGCGGGGGCGGGGCGGCCGAACGCUUAUAGCGUUUCGAGCUAGCACUUCCCCUGCAUCCUGCCGCGAACCGUGCUACCAUUAGUUUGGUGGCGCCGGGGAUCGGCUCGUUUACUUUGAGAAAAUAAGUGUUCAAAGCAGCCACACGCCUUGCAUAAGUAGCAUGGAAUAAUAUAAAGGACUUCGGUUCUAUUUGU
rnacentral:rRNA from 1 species